GACCUCAAAUCAGGUAGGACUACCCGCUGAACUUAAGCA
rnacentral:rRNA from 1 species